UCACACGUGACCAAAAGCGGCUCUCUCACUUUCAGCGAAUGGAGUGCUCGUAUACGCCUCCUCAAGAAAAUCAAUUCCUCAUUAUUCUGGUAUUCACACGAUCAUCAAGCCGGCUCAUCUCAGCUCUAAACGAAAAUGCGAAAAAGCUCAAAUCGAAAACAUAAACUCACCUUCUGCGCCGGCGAGUUUCCUUCGUUGACCGUUUGGAUCAAUGUGUCCCUCACCCUAACUUCUUCAAUUAGUGUCGCCUGCGUCGUGGUUGCACGAUUGCAUUCUGUCGAAUCCAGAUGAAGAUUGUUGCAUUUGCAUCGUGAUUGUAGACGACGAGUGAAGUGUUGAUGAUUCACGACGAAAAGCGAAGAUGGUUGCUGAGUUCUUGAAGAGUGAAGAGGAUGCUUCCGAAGCUUUGCCGGUGAAUCCAAAUUUGGCGAAGAUUCUGUUAUUAAGAGUUGAGGAAAGAUGAAGUUAGAGAGGAUUUUGGGGUGGUUCUUUCAUGUUCGAAGGAUGAUUGGGAAAGCUGUUUAUUGGGAGGGAUUCGGAGAGAGGAUGAGAAGCUGAACGAGAGUGUGCAUGAAGAUGGAAAUCUCAAGAGUGUGGCUUGAAGAAUGACUUGAGGUGGCGACGAAGAAGAAGAUUGAAAACUCUCUAAAAAAACAUUCUGCAGUGAGGUAUGCCCUUUUAUAGGUUUCAAAGUUAGUUCGAAACUUGAUGAAGUUCGAUGGUUAUUCAGUUAGAAAUCUCAGUUGAAAAAACGGACUUUUCUGUUAUGAAAGUGGUUAUAGUUUGUUAGAGUUUGUGGAUUGGUUGUUAUGUUAGUUACGAACGGUUACGUUAGUUACAGAAUUCUGUAUUGGUUUUAUUGUAUUAGUGGAAACUGUUAGUUAGAGUUUGUUAUCAUUCAGUUAGGAUGAGGGAAGUCAUAGGUUGAAGAACUACGUUAGAAGAGGGUGAUUUUGAAGUUAGUUGGAAGGGGAAGUUAGAACUAGUUCAGAAUUUCUGUUUUUUUUAUGGAUUAUUAACAAGUUUUAUUGAUGCUUGUUCUGUUACAAUACUUUGCAUUGUCAUGAUUUAACUGCUAUGUACUGCUAUAACUGUUGCUAUCUCUUUCCUAAACAAAAAAUCGUGUAGCCAGGAUUUGUAGCAAACUGCUCAUACGCAUUCAAUACUUGUAGAGUGCCUACUGUCGAGCGAAGAGGUAGAGAAAGUGCGGCCUUCAAUCUUGCUCACAAGGUGUUCGAGAAAUCCUUUAACCAAUGUUUUGCUACCUUUUCUUGAUUCUGGCUUAAACUUAUACUUCUUACUGCUUGAAUUUUUGUCAUUGUACGACUGUUGCUAGUUAUGUUCACAUCGCAGCUUGUGAAUUGUUGCUUCUCACUUCUUCCGUCAUAACUCAGAAUGAGUUACUUCAAUUUGUCAACUUUAUGAAGUGGUUGAAUGGUGAACUAGCUAAGAAGGAUAUGGAUGAUGCAUGUUUGGCUUGUAGCAUAACAUUGGAGUCCUGUAGGUGUGAUGUAGAAUUGGUUAAUUGCUGCAGAAUUUUGGACAUGGCAUGCUCCUGUACAUAACAGGUGGUAUGUUCAUGGAUCAUUGUAAGGAGACACUCAUAAUGAAAGGAGGCGAGGCUUGACCAAAAUGUUUCAACAUGGCUUGGCAAGGCAUGGUAUGACAUCAAGUUUGAAGAAUUUUUUGAAUGAUAAUUGUAAAUGACAAUGUGAAUUGGUUUGAAGAUGUAUGGUUCAUGUAUUUGGAAAUCAAACAUGUAUGGCUUAUGUGAUUAGUAACUUAACAUGGUUGAAAUUGUUUGUAACUUUGAAAUUGAAUGGUGGUUUUUAAAUGAACACGUGAAUUGAAAUGGUUUAUGUA